rnacentral:rRNA from 1 species
UGGGGAAUCUUGCGCAAUGGCCGAGAGGCUGACGCAGCGACGCCGCGUGGGGGAUGAAGCAUUUCGGUGUGUAAACCCCUGUUGCUCGGGACGAACGGCCCUUUUCGAGGGGUGUGACGGUACCGAGUGAGGAAGCACCGGCUAACUCCGUGCCAGCAGCCGCGGUAAUACGGAGGGUGCGAGCGUUGUCCGGAAUCACUGGGCGUAAAGGGCGCGUAGGUGGUUAGAUGCGCCGGUGGUGAAAGCGCAGGGCUCAACCCUGCGUCGGCCAUCGGGACGGUCUGACUUGAGCACUGUAGAGGCAGGUGGAAUUCCGGGUGUAGCGGUGGAAUGCGUAGAGAUCCGGAAGAACACCGGUGGCGAAGGCGGCCUGCUGGGCAGUAGC